rfam:TPA: Bos taurus chromosome 9, whole genome shotgun sequence.
UCCCUGGUGGCUCAGUGGUAAAGAGUCUGCCUGCCAAGGCAGGGGACACAGGUUUGAUCCCUGAUCUGGGAA